rnacentral:rRNA from 1 species
AACGAACGCUGGCGGCGUGGAUAAGACAUGCAAGUCGAACGGAACAUUAUGAGUAGCAAUACAAGUAAUGUUUAGUGGCGAACGGGUGCGUAACACGUGGAUACAUUCCGGGAAGCAGGGGAUAGCCCAGGGAAACUUGGAUUAAUACCGCAUGUGAUCGAAAGAUCAAAGACGGGGACCGCAAGGCCUGUCACUUCCCGAUUGGUCCGCGGCCUAUCAGCUAGUUGGCGGGGUAAAAGCCCACCAAGGCGACGACGGGUAGCUGGUCUGAGAGGACGACCAGCCACACUGGAACUGAGACACGGUCCAGACACCUACGGGUGGCAGCAGUCGAGAAUCUUUCACAAUGGGGGCAACCCUGAUGGAGCGACGCCGCGUGGAGGAUAAGGUCUUCGGAUUGUAAACUCCUGUCAUGCGUGAACAAGAUUGCCGGGCUAAUAACCUGUGCAAGUUGAUGGUAACGCAAGAGGAAGAGACGGCUAACUCUGUGCCAGCAGCCGCGGUAAU